UGAAUUAUUUUCCAAAGACACAAUUAUUGGACAUGUAUAGAUAAAAUGUGGCAUUAUUAUUUGAAAAGUGUGUUGGAAUAUGUAUUAAAAUUCCAUGACAAUAGCGCAAAGAUAUAAAUCUUUAUAGCAGCGGACUUCAAUUUGAGGCAUUAGGUAGAGGCACCACCACACUGAUCGGAUUUAAUAACAACAUUUUCCCACCUGACACAUGAGCUCGAGCUCUAAUCAUAAAUCUGGAGUAUCAUCUGAAAUGGUGGAGUAAUCCACUGACCUAUAUCCGGUCAUGUUCUGUUUACGGGCUUGUACAUCGUCUGUGUCUGUUUUGGUCUUGUGUUAACCGCAAUGAGGACAACAAGAACUGAAUCAGGUAGGAGCCUGCUUCCCCUGGUGCCACUUCGCCAUCCUGGCCACAAUGCAAACAUGACUUUGCAAUUAAGUUAUUGUCGGCCAGAAGGAACUAUCCGGCAGGCAUGGUCCUUGGAGUCUCACUUCGCCUCCUUUAAGCUGCUUGAAGGAGAACCACCCCCAGAAAAAGAAGCUCUCGGUUGAUUUAUGGCCACUUGCACUGGCUGCAAAAGGACUUUAAAUAACGACCAGCUCCUUGGCCAGUUAUUUAACCCCAAAUUGUUGCUUAUGCAUUUACUCACUAAUGGUGCCUCUGGAGUUUAUGGUGCAAGAAAGUGAUUUUCAAAUGGAAUUGUUAUACAAAUUUUUGGCCAAUAUGCUUUGGUAUGCUUUUCAGCACUGAUACAAUAUCUGCACAUGCAUCGGCUGCAUAUGCGUGUGACGUUUGAUUGACACCCCCAAAAACAUACGUCUGUUGAUACGAUUUAAUUGCUGAGGCUUUUUUCUCCCCAUCUAUGAACCGAUUUUAAAAACAUUGUAUCUCGGCAGGUGGCAAAAUUGUUGCAGGCCCCAGACAACGGAGACUAUCGGUCGCCCAACGAAAAUUCCAGUUGCAAAGCCUUUAAAUCUACAUCCAGCGUAUCUGAUUUAUGUUCGUUAUCAACUAAUUUAAAUAUGCAUAUACUAUCAGUUACAUUGCACAAACAAAAGUUGCGGCACAUUUUUCUAUUUGCAUCUCAUCGCGCUGCUUUCUACAUUGGGACUGGUUUUAUUUAUCUGUAAUUUUUUUCAGCGCCAAUAGGACACACGGCGAGCAAACAAAGGGAUACAAAACAUGUGCAAUAAAAAUGUGAAAAAUAAAAGAGCGCAAUUCCGUAACUAGCUCUCGUUGCUUGCCGCCCAUACAAACAGUGUCGUUACGUAUACGCGCCGUUGGCAGCCGCUAUUGCACAGACAUUUGCAUGCUCCGCGCGACAGCCCAGCAUUUGAUAUAUUAAACUUUCGAACUAUAACUCAGCA